ACCGGAAGCGGGGUUCUCUCGGUGGUGGCUGUGUCACCCUGUUACCGUUUUAACUUAGAUACUUUCUUCACUACCGAAGACGGAUCAGCGCUCUGUUACGAUGCUCUGUGUUCAGGAUUUAAUAGGCAGCCCUGUGGAGAAGCCUAGGUGGAGGGGAACUGAGGCCUCCUGCCAACAGCCAGCAUCAACCUGCCAGCUAUGUGAGUGAGCUAUCUUGGAGAUGGAUGGUCCAGCCCCAGUGAAACCUUCAGAUAACUGCAGCCCCAGGUGGCAUUGAUUGCAACCUCAUGAAAAACACUGAGCAGACCUGCCCUGCCAAGCUGCCCCAGAAUUCCUGACCCAGAGAAACCAUGAGCUAUUAACCUGUAACCAGACGCUGGUUGGUGGGGGAGAACCCGCCUCCGGCGAAGAUGCAGCCCGCGGGGCCAGUUCUCUGGCCAUUCCCAAGACCUUGAAGGGACACCAGGUCAGAAGCAGGGUUCGCUUCCUUUCACUCACCGCUACCGCCUUCCUUCCGAUUGGCUGAUCCGCGACAACACAGACAAUACUGGUCGCUGAUUGGCCAGGAUAUUGCCAGGACAGCCAAACUGCAGACUCCUAACAGGCUAACGAGGUCCCGGUGGAGGGCAG